ACCAAUAUUAUUGUGCUGCUUUA
rnacentral:ncRNA from 4 species